ACUCCUACGGGAGGCAGCAGUGGGGAAUUUUGGACACUGGGCGAAAGCCUGAUCCAGCAAUGCCGCGUGAGUGAAGAAGGCCUUCGGGUUGUAAAGCUCUUUUGUCAGGGAAGAAACGGUGAAAGCUAAUAUCUUUUGCUAAUGACGGUACCUGAAGAAUAAGCACCGGCUAACUACGUGCCAGCAGCCGCGGUAAUACGUAGGGUGCAAGCGUUAAUCGGAAUUACUGGGCGUAAAGCGUGCGCAGGCGGUUUUGUAAGUCUGAUGUGAAAUCCCCGGGCUCAACCUGGGAAUUGCAUUGGAGACUGCAAGGCUAGAAUCUGGCAGAGGGGGGUAGAAUUCCACGUGUAGCAGUGAAAUGCGUAGAUAUGUGGAGGAACACCGAUGGCGAAGGCAGCCCCCUGGGUCAAGAUUGACGCUCAUGCACGAAAGCGUGGGGAGCAAACAGGAUUAGAAACCCGAGUAGUCCCAUGA
rnacentral:rRNA from 1 species